CAAUAUUGGCGUCAUAGCGUGGGUUGACCCUUUGUAAUAAAAGUUUACACUUCUGUGAAUUUACGAUUUAUCAAAAUUCGACUUAUAAUAACUCUUUCUUUUUACAUUUGAAUUUAGUUUUACUGUUCACUCAGUGAUAGGAAGGAUUGUAGUAGACUACGAUCUAGCUCAAUUCAUGGUGCAGCACUACAAGCAGGGAUUGGAAGCACAAAGAAAAUUAAAGACUGUAUUUCACAAUAGUUGCGAAGGACAAAUGGUGUUUUUUUUCUAUUUUCUUAAACGUUUAUUUUCUGUUUAGACAUAUGCAUGUUUUGUUUUAUAUUUUUAUAUAUAUUUUUUUACAACCAACA